GAGACUCCUGUCUUAUCAUGGACCCUGAUGGGCUUAUUUGAUUCAGAUGUCCAAGUGUGGAAUUGCCAGCCUUUCCAGAUGAGACCCUACCAAUGCGGCCACUGCUCCCAGUCCUUUUCCCAACCUUCGGAACUGAGGAACCACGUGGUCACUCACUCUAGUGACCGGCCUUUCAAGUGCGGCUACUGUGGUCGUGCCUUUGCCGGGGCCACCACCCUCAACAACCACAUCCGAACCCACACUGGAGAAAAGCCCU
rnacentral:sRNA from 1 species